AGAGUUUGAUCCUGGCUCAGGACGAACGCUGGCGGCGUGCUUAACACAUGCAAGUCGAACGAUGAACCGGUUUCGGCCGGGGAUUAGUGGCGAACGGGUGAGUAACACGUGGGCAAUCUGCCUGCACUCUGGGACAAGCCCUGGAAACGGGGUCUAAUACCGGAUAUGACCAUCUUGGGCAUCCUUGAUGGUGGAAAGCU
rnacentral:rRNA from 1 species